rnacentral:lncRNA from 1 species
UUUAAAAAGUAAUUAAUGGAGUAAACAUAUCUUUUGUUUAAAGUUGCUAUUUUCAAAUUAUGCAGUUGAAAUUGCGGCCAAUUUGGGCGUAAUUCCAACUGAUGCAGUUGGGCCUCCUCUUGUAGUUUCUACUGCAGGAGCUAGAGUUAAAUAUAUUAAAUUAAACACCGAAUGUACAUUUGUAUGUAGGUACAAUUACAGUGCAGUUAUAAAUACAUGCAACCAAAUGGCCCCUAAAGUAAAACGCUAGAGAGUAAAAUCAGAAAUUUUUAAAUU